rnacentral:piRNA from 1 species
UGCUUGUGUGCAACAACUGUGCUGCC